rnacentral:misc_RNA from 1 species
CGAGGGAGGUGGUUAUGGGAGGGCACCCUCCUUACAGGGAAAGACCCACACAUCAGCAGUCAACGGCAGCGCAUGAGGUGGACGUGAUGAUACCAUGGGCCCCACAAACAUCAUGUGCGACUUCUUCCACGGUGAUGCCGCCUCGCCACGCUAUCAAAGCAGCGCGAAGUCAACCUUCACGCCUCUCUUGCAGACGUGGGUGAAGCCAGAACGGCUUGAAAACAGCACGGCCGUCUUUCUCGACGCCCUUCUGUACACCGACGACAGCGGCGCAGCUGUGGCGCAGAUAUGGCUGCGAAUCGACCCAGAUGAUUCUCAUGGGCUGGGCGCCGCACCGUUGUUCUCUUUCCUCGUGGCAGCGUGUCGGGCACCGUUGGUUUGUCCCAGCCAAGCCGAUGUCCCCAUUAUCAGCGGCGCGGCUGUGCUUGCUGAUGACGCGACAUCAGCCGUUCGUCAGUUUCACCUCGUGUACCCGUGCGUCAGCGGCACCAACGCUUUGCUCCGUGAGGUGGUGCACAGCUGGGGCGGGGCACGGCUCUCUGUGACCCGCAAGCGAGCACUCCUCCGUGUGGCGGGCGCGACUGCUCCGUACACAGCGACUGCGGUGGUGAACGAAGCUGCCACCGCAGGCGUGUUUGUACUGGAGUCGGGCGCAUACCACCGAGCCGAUGCCUUCCAUGUUCGAACCGACGCGGCUGCGCGCCAAGGGCUGGUUCCUCCUGUCACUGUGCUGCAGAUGCGGGCGCCGCUCCCGCAGAGCGAGACGUACCGGAGUCUUCAGCACGGAUGCCUUACCGAGUCACUGGUAGGCUUCGUCGUGCACGAACCGUACCGACAGCGCUCUAUCUUCUCUCUUGCCGCCGUCCCCUCCGCCGGUGCGCAAGCACUGUAUGGGGAGAUAGACACGGUGCUGGAGAUGAGCACCGCCGCCCUCCACGACGCCGAUGAAGCACUUGUCCCUUGCUGCGGCCUUGCUCAGCGUAUAGUGUACACCGACUGCGCCUUGACGCGCACCCAACUCCACGCCUCCCCUCUUCUGGAGGUCACACAGGUGGUGCUGAGAGUACAUGUGGAGGGGGCACUUUCUCGACCGGCGUCUCUCUCGCCCUUGAGCAACGUGACAUGGCAGUUGUGCGGCUCGCAGCGCUACGAGGCCACCGUGAUUAGGCUGCAGCGGCCUCUAGAGGAGCGACUGAGUUGGGUCGUGGAGCCACUCCGCGCCGUCUCGUCGGACCUGCGGUGCGUAGAUAGCGCCUUGAACCGUGCAGGGGCUAAAGCAACGGCGGCGCGGAGGAGUUCUGAUGCUGAUUCAAGAAGUCAGAUGCACUGUGUCACGUGUGUCGCUGAGGCUCACUUUUCGUCUUUCUCGCGCCACGGAGGCCACUUCACUGGUGGCGUUAGGCGUCGCUGCUCUCUCGCGCUCUCCGCUAACGCUGUUUGCUCUGUGUACCCGCAUCAUCCGCGAACGGCGGGGGGAGCGCACGAAUCACGCAGCUGCCGCAGAACAUCCGUGUCGUGGUGGCAGCCACCCCCGCUGUGGCUGUCCCGCACCGCGUGCUUCAUCACGCAUUGCAGCCUUUUCGAGCUGUCUGCGCUGUACUGCCUCGUCCUCGUGGCCUGUUUUCUCGUUAUCCUGCUGCGGAGGGGCAGAGGGAGAGACGGUCUCGCUCGCAGGGAUUCCAUCGCUUGGUGAGUUUCCUACUCGUGCAUGCACGCACGCUUCCUACCGCCUCCGUCUCUCCUUUUGUGCGCAGCACCUGUCUCACUCUCUACACCCGAGUUUCUUUAUAUUGCCGUUCUGUCGUCCUACUGCUUACACGCUACACGCUACACGCUACACGCUACACGCUGCUGCUGCUACUGCCGCCGCUGUCUUUGAGGUGCACCGAUAACACGGCUCGCCCAUUUUCCCAGAGUAACGAUUGAAAACGAGUAAUGGGCACGUGCACACCGCUGUGCAGACAGACAGACAGACAGACACACACACACACACGCACAUGCACACAUAAACCGCGUUCGGCGUAAGCGCAGGAGGACUGCGACUCGGCUCCCUCUUCGCUUUUUCGGUGAAAGGCGCACAACCCUCUUCUUUACUGAACACCAU